rnacentral:rRNA from 1 species
GACGAACGCUGGCGGCGUGCCUAAUACAUGCAAGUCGAACGCUUUGAUUUUCACCGGAGCUUGCUCCACCGAAAAUCAAAGAGUGGCGGACGGGUGAGUAACACGUGGGGCAACCUGCCCAACAGAGGGGGAUAACACUUGGAAACAGGUGCUAAUACCGCAUAAUUUGUUUUUCCGCAUGGAAGAGUAAUAAAAGACGCUUCGGUGUCACUGUUGGAUGGGCCCGCGCUGCAUUAGUUAGUUGGUGGGGUAACGGCCUACCAAGACCAUGAUGCAUAGCCGACCUGAGAGGGUGAUCGGCCACACUGGGACUGAGACACGGCCCAGACUCCUACGGGAGGCAGCAGUAGGGAAUCUUCGGCAAUGGACGAAAGUCUGACCGAGCAACGCCGCGUGAGUGAAGAAGGUUUUCGGAUCGUAAAACUCUGUUGUUAGAGAAGAACAAGUGAGAGAGUUACUGUUCUCACCUUGACGGUAUCUAACCAGAAAGCCACGGCUAACUACGUGCCAGCAGCCGCGGUAAUACGUAGGUGGCAAGCGUUGUCCGGAUUUAUUGGGCGUAAAGCGAGCGCAGGCGGUUUCUUAAGUCUGAUGUGAAAGCCCUCGGCUCAACCGAGGAAGGUCAUUGGAAACUGGGGAACUUGAGUGCAGAAGAGGAGAGUGGAAUUCCAUGUGUAGCGGUGAAAUGCGUAGAUAUAUGGAGGAACACCAGUGGCGAAGGCGACUCUCUGGUCUGUAACUGACGCUGAGGCUCGAAAGCGUGGGGAGCAAACAGG